rnacentral:rRNA from 1 species
CUACGGGGGGCUGCAGUGGGGAAUAUUGGACAAUGGGGGAAACCCUGAUCCAGCAAUGCCGCGUGUGUGAAGGAGGCCUGCGGGUUGUAAAGCACUUUCGGUUGGGAGGACUGCUUCUAGCACUAAUAUUGUUGGAAGUUGACGUUACCUUCAGAAGAAGCACCGGCUAACUCCGUGCCAGCAGCCGCGGUAAUACGAAGGGUGCAAGCGUUAAUCGGAAUUACUGGGCGUAAAGCGCGCGUAGGCGGCUAGAUCAGUCGGGUGUGAAAGCCCCGGGCUUAACCUGGGAACUGCAUCCGAUACUGUCUAGCUUGAGUACAGGAGAGGAGAGUGGAAUUCCACAUGUAGCGGUGAAAUGCGUAGAUAUGUGGAGGAACACCAAUGGCGAAGGCAGCUCUCUGGCCUGAUACUGACGCUGAGGUGCGAAAGCGUGGGGAGCAAACAGGAUUAGAUACCCGGGUAGUC